GAUGAACGCUAGCGGCAGGCCUAACACAUGCAAGUCGAGGGGCAGCACGGUGUAGCAAUACACUGGUGGCGACCGGCGCACGGGUGCGUAACGCGUAUGCAACCUACCCAUAACAGGGGGAUAACACUGAGAAAUUGGUGCUAAUACCGCAUAAGCCCACGACCUGGCAUCGGGUUGAGGGAAAAGGAGCAAUCCGCUUUGAGAUGGCCUCGCGUCCGAUUAGCUAGUUGGUGAGGUAACGGCCCACCAAGGCGACGAUCGGUAGCCGGACUGAGAGGUUGAACGGCCACAUUGGGACUGAGACACGGCCCAG
rnacentral:rRNA from 1 species